CUGGUAUGAUGCAAAAUUAGCCAAAUCAGACAUUUAUGUGCUCCUAUAGGCUUUCUCUCUAAGCUUUGCAUAUAAGUGGUGCUUUUGGUGAAAAUUCCUGUCUUGGGAAUUUUUGCUAAGCAUACAAGGAGAGAAACCUUUUGUCGAAGCACAUAUCUCUGAUGAUAACAGCGAGAUUGGUUACCUGCUGACCGGA
rfam:Musa acuminata subsp. malaccensis Doubled-haploid Pahang (DH-Pahang) genomic chromosome, chr6